rnacentral:rRNA from 1 species
UACGUAGGGUGCAAGCGUUGUCCGGAAUUAUUGGGCGUAAAGAGCUCGUAGGCGGUUUGUCGCGUCGAAUGUGAAAACCCGGGGCUCAACCCCGGGCCUGCAUUCGAUACGGGCAGACUAGAGUCAGGUAGGGGAGAACGGAAUUCCUGGUGUAGCGGUGAAAUGCGCAGAUAUCAGGAGGAACACCGGUGGCGAAGGCGGUUCUCGGGGCCUGUACUGACGCUGAGGAACGAAAGCGUGGGGAGCAAACAGG